GCUGUCCGGGCCUUGCCUGCGUGAAGGGCUGCAGGUGUAGUUUUCCCAGGACGCCGUGUUGCUGUGGAUCUAGCCUCAGAAAUCAGGCCUUGGGGUUGGAUUGAGACCUUCGUGAGCGCGAUUAUAGUGUCGGCGUAGUUCACCGAGUCAAAAUAUUGAUGUUACCUCGUCUAGGCAAAUCUUAGAGGGUUAGUCACUAUUGUGUGAAUUAACCCUAGUGGACGCCAUUUUUCUUGCCUUAGGUUGGGUGCUUCCUGGAGCUUCUCAGCGCAAGGUACCAAGUACAAGUUAGUUUCGUUAAGUGUCUUAUUUGGCCACGUAGCCUCCAAAAAAUAAUCCCACAUUUGGAAGCGACAACUAAGUAGGGAUGCUUUCUACAUAGAUUUUUAAAAGUGAUUUUGGAGCUAUCUGUAUUUCAGUAAUAUUUACAAAAAAAUUGAGCUGGCGCAUUAAUGCUGUUACAGAGCUGGGGCAUUCCAAGAAACUGAGGCAGCCAGAAGACCUACACUUCAAACUCCGACUGUUGCGAUCAAGUCAAAGAUUUCAGACAUGUUUUCAGAAUAACAGGCAUGAGUUUAUUGAAGGGAUAGAUAAAC
rnacentral:lncRNA from 1 species